AUGUCCAGGUCACCCCAUACUGCAUUGUCCCUGGCGUCGCUACAAAUCCAGAAGCGAGCGUGUCACCGCCCACUCUUGUUAAGCGGAGCCUUUCCCGCCGCCCGGUCAGGCUUGGUGCGCACUUGCACCCGAGUAGAAGGCCCAGCAGAGGGCGCUGCUGGACAAGGCGCGGAGCCGCGUCAGCGUGCCAGAGCUGCUAGGUCAGGACAGCGGACCACAGGACCCCGGGGGCCGCUUUGGAACUCUGGAGAGUGCAAGAGCGAGGAAAGCGAAGAAGGGCAAUACCAGUUAACCCCAUAUCCGCCCUGCGGACAAUGCCGAGCGCGGUGCAACCGGGCUCUGGAGCCUGCCCCGGGGAGGUCGGAUUCAGCAUUUGGACAGCGGCUCGGGGGCGGUCUGCGGCCCAAAGAGUUUGCAAGUGCACCGCCCCCGCGUGAGGCGAGGGUUGUUCGGACGCAAGCUGGGCGCGGGCAGGCAGGGUCGGGUCGUAGGGCAGGGCGCCCCUCGCCUCCUGCCUCCGCCUCUCCGUUCCGCACUGGCCCGAGCGAAGCCAGGGGGGCGGGGGGAGCCGCGCUGACGUCACUGCGGGCCGUGCCCGCCCGAGAAGGCGGCGCUGAGCCGCUCAGAGCCGAGAGAAGCGGCGCGCCGCCAGGAACCCCAGCGCCAACGCCGCCGCGCCUGCUUCCAGCAGCUCUCGGCCACGCGACCGUGCGGGCAGCGGCGCCUGGAGGGUGGCCGGAGCUGGGCCUGAGCCUGGGGACUCGCCUGAUCCUGGGCGGCCGAACCACCGUCACCACAGCCGCCCCACCCCCGCCGUCGCCUCGUGGGGCCCCGGCCCCCUCCCGGGAAUGGGUGAUGGAGGUGAAUCAGAGGGCUCGGAGUGGGACGGUGGGCACAGGAGCAAGGAAGAAGGGAUUGGUUUCAGUUGCUCCAGAUUCCCGAAUUUCCUACCUGGGCUCUGAGUGCCCUUCACUAGCACCUACUGGCCUUCAGCACGAAGGAGGCUCGCAUCACUGCAGGGAAAGCCUUCUCUCCUCAGACAUGGUGGGAUGUACUCUGAUCUAGAGCAGGCAUCUGGCCAGAGACCCACAGGGAGCUCUGUGAUUGGCCUCAGAUGACCUAGAGGACAAAGAGAGGUCAGUGACUCCUGUUGUCUGCGAGUGUGAUGCUGGAGGUGGAGGUGGGACAAAGCCAUCAUGUCUUUGAAGAAAGCUUCUGGCCUCAAGCCAGACUCAGGAUUUUGGAGACUCGAGCCUCUUCUGGACAUGUGCACCUUGACAGUAGUGGCUUCUAAUUGUCCUGUGAAGGGAAAUGAUGGAACAGGCUCUGGUCGGCUUUUCUGGGAACAGACAGAGAAGUGGUAACUCCUGCCAAAGUCACGGGAUGCAUACAAAGCCCAGAACCCGAACAGGAAAAUGCAGCAGGAAAGGACACCGCAGCAGCCACCAUCCUGGGGUGGCUGUGCACGGGGCAGUCCUGCCCCUGGAACUUGGCCAGAGGCCAGGGCAAGUGCCCACCUCCCUUCUAGGGGCCUUUGUCACUGGCCUGCUUGCCCAGGUCUCCUUCAUCUCUGCUGCUGCCACACCUUUCAGGCCUGUUCUGGGUCUGAUGUGAUGCAGAACACUCUGCUCCGUCACUUGGGAAAUGGAAACUUCAUCACCAGCGUUUCCACCCCAAAGAACUAGACAGCACACUGGGAAGUUGCCAAAGGAAGGGACUUCAGCCUCCCAGGAGUUAACAACAUUUCUCCCCAGCUGUCCUCCCCUUGGUGCUCCUUUUCCUCCCUCCUCCUGCUCACAGCAGGCAGGGCCUGGAACCAGGAGCCAUGCUGCUGUGCUGUUGCCAGGGGAGCUGGGAGGCAGAUCAGAGCUAUGCAGGGGAAAGGCUCAGCCUGUCAAAGUGUCUGAGAUGAACCACCGCCAUCCCCGUGCAGCUGGGCUCCAUGUGUCUCAAGGCUCUUGUUCUGUGCCUGAGAACAGGGAAACCCAGCGAGGUUCAAGGGCACACUCGCUAUUCAUCAGUCAGGGGUUCUUGACGGUCCUGCCUCUCCCAGAGAUGGGUUCCCCCCUUCCUCUUUCUCUCCCUCCUGUGACACAAUCCUGGGUGCCUAUGGUGAGGACUGCACACCCCCUCCCUACUGCUCCCCCCAAACCCUGAAUCAACUCUUAUUAAGGAGGCCAGGCAGGACAGAGACAAUGGCUUCAAGAAAUCAUUCAGGCAGGACCCCAGCCACAUUUGCCUGCCCUUCACUCCCAGUGCCCCUGUAGAUCCCACUCUGCAGUGAUUCAGGGCACCCUUGGGCCCCCAGCUUGCAUAUGCUUAGACAGGAGCAGGCCACUAGGUGCUGCCCUACACAACAGGCCAGUGCACUAUUCUCAGUGUUAUUCUUAGUGGCCCCUAGGUCCCUCUGUCCCACUGGCUGCAUAUUUUUGUGCAGUUGGCCGGAAAGUAGAAACUGUACAAUAUUUUCUGAAAUGUGGUAAUAUCAAAAUGUAAAAGACAUAUAUACUUGAUUACUAAUCUCAUCCAGAUACCCUGGAAACGUUUGCUAAGAAGCAUGGACAAAGAGCUGUGGUUGAAGGAAUGAGUCAUUCCUUUCUAUGGAGUACCGCAGAGGCAGCUCGUGCAGGCUGAUAGGGAAGGCUCCAAUAUACUCAAGUGCAGAAUAAAGUACAAAAGGUCAAGUAAAGGACAAA